AACGCACCUUGCGCUCCUUGGUAUUCCGAGGAGCAUGCCUGUUUGAGUGUCUUGAAGUCAUCAACUCUCACCGUUUUUGAAACUGGUGCGUGUUGGAAGUGGGGGCCUGCUGCCGAAUGGCUGCUCCCCUCAAAUGCAUCGGUUGGGCCUGUGGGUCGAACUCGACUGGGCGUUGUACAAACCUCGCUCUGACCGAGAUGUUCCCCUUUGACGUGCCCUGACCCCUGACCUGCCCAUUGGAGGUGGUGGUCAAGCUUUUGAAAUCUGACCUCAAAUCAGGUAGGACUACCCGCUGAACUUAA
rnacentral:misc_RNA from 1 species